UACGUAGGUGGCGAGCGUUGUCCGGAUUUACUGGGCGUAAAGGGCUUGUAGGCGGUCCGUUAAGUCCGAUGUGAAAUCUCCCGGCUCAACUGGGAGAGGUCAUUGGAUACUGGCGGACUAGAGGGGGGUAGAGGAAAGCAGAAUUCCUGGUGUAGCGGUGAAAUGCAUAGAUAUCAGGAGGAAUACCAGUGGCGAAGGCGGCUUUCUGGGCCUACCCUGACGCUGAGGAGCGAAAGCGUGGGGAGCAAACCGG
rnacentral:rRNA from 1 species